rnacentral:rRNA from 1 species
UACAGAGGUCUCAAGCGUUGUUCGGAUUCAUUGGGCGUAAAGGGUGCGUAGGCGGCGCGGUAAGUCGGGUGUGAAAUCUCGGAGCUUAACUCCGAAACUGCAUUCGAUACUGCGGUGCUUGAGGACUGGAGAGGAGACUGGGAUUUACGGUGUAGCGGUGAAAUGCGUAGAUAUGCGGAGGAACACCGAUGGCGAAGGCAGCUCGCUGGGACGUGACUGACGCUGAGACGCGAAAGCGUGGGGAGCAAACAGG